rnacentral:tRNA from 1 species
AGAUGUGGCUCAAUUUGGUAGAGCACUUGGUUUGGGACCAAGGGGUUGCAGGUUCAAAUCCUGUCAUCU